CAGUCGAGGGGUAUAGUAGCAAUACUAGAGACCGGCGCACGGGUGCGUAACGCGUAUGCAAUCUACCUUUUACAGAGGGAUAGCCCAGAGAAAUUUGGAUUAAUACCUCAUAGUAUAACGAGUUCGCAUGAAUUUGUUAUUAAAGUCACAACGGUAAAAGAUGAGCAUGCGUCCCAUUAGCUAGUUGGUAAGGUAACGGCUUACCAAGGCUACGAUGGGUAGGGGUCCUGAGAGGGAGAUCCCCCACACUGGUACUGAGACACGGACCAGACUCCUACGGGAGGCAGCAGUGAGGAAUAUUGGUCAAUGGGCGCAAGCCUGAACCAGCCAUGCCGCGUGCAGGAUGACGGUCCUAUGGAUUGUAAACUGCUUUUGCACAGGAAGAAACACUACCUCGUGAGGUAGCUUGACGGUACUGUGAGAAUAAGGAUCGGCUAACUCCGUGCCAGCAGCCGCGGUAAUACGGAGGAUCCAAGCGUUAUCCGGAAUCAUUGGGUUUAAAGGGUCCGUAGGCGGUCUAAUAAGUCAGUGGUGAAAGCCCUACGCUCAACGUAGGAACGGCCAUUGAUACUGUUAGACUUGAAUUACUUGGAAGUAACUAGAAUAUGUAGUGUAGCGGUGAAAUGCUUAGAGAUUACAUGGAAUACCAAUUGCGAAGGCAGGUUACUACAAGUGGAUUGACGCUGAUGGACGAAAGCGUGGGUAGCGAACAGGAUUAGAUACCCCUGGUAGUCCACGCCGUAAACGAUGGAUA
rnacentral:rRNA from 1 species